UUAAGCGACUAAGCGUACACGGUGGAUGCCCUGGCAGUCAGAGGCGAUGAAGGACGUGCUAAUCUGCGAUAAGCGUCGGUAAGGUGAUAUGAACCGUUAUAACCGGCGAUUUCCGAAUGGGGAAACCCAGUGUGAUUCGUCACACUAUCAUUAACUGAAUCCAUAGGUUAAUGAGGCGAACCGGGGGAACUGAAACAUCUAAGUACCCCGAGGAAAAGAAAUCAACCGAGAUUCCCCCAGUAGCGGCGAGCGAACGGGGAGCAGCCCAGAGCCUGAAUCAGUGUGUGUGUUAGUGGAAGCGUCUGGAAAGGCGCGCGAUACAGGGUGACAGCCCCGUACACAAAAAUGCACAUGCUGUGAGCUCGAUGAGUAGGGCGGGACACGUGGUAUCCUGUCUGAAUAUGGGGGGACCAUCCUCCAAGGCUAAAUACUCCUGACUGACCGAUAGUGAACCAGUACCGUGAGGGAAAGGCGAAAAGAACCCCGGCGAGGGGAGUGAAAAAGAACCUGAAACCGUGUACGUACAAGCAGUGGGAGCACGCUUAGGCGUGUGACUGCGUACCUUUUGUAUAAUGGGUCAGCGACUUAUAUUCUGUAGCAAGGUUAACCGAAUAGGGGAGCCGAAGGGAAACCGAGUCUUAACUGGGCGUUAAGUUGCAGGGUAUAGACCCGAAACCCGGUGAUCUAGCCAUGGGCAGGUUGAAGGUUGGGUAACACUAACUGGAGGACCGAACCGACUAAUGUUGAAAAAUUAGCGGAUGACUUGUGGCUGGGGGUGAAAGGCCAAUCAAACCGGGAGAUAGCUGGUUCUCCCCGAAAGCUAUUUAGGUAGCGCCUCGUGAAUUCAUCUCCGGGGGUAGAGCACUGUUUCGGCAAGGGGGUCAUCCCGACUUACCAACCCGAUGCAAACUGCGAAUACCGGAGAAUGUUAUCACGGGAGACACACGGCGGGUGCUAACGUCCGUCGUGAAGAGGGAAACAACCCAGACCGCCAGCUAAGGUCCCAAAGUCAUGGUUAAGUGGGAAACGAUGUGGGAAGGCCCAGACAGCCAGGAUGUUGGCUUAGAAGCAGCCAUCAUUUAAAGAAAGCGUAAUAGCUCACUGGUCGAGUCGGCCUGCGCGGAAGAUGUAACGGGGCUAAACCAUGCACCGAAGCUGCGGCAGCGACGCUUAUGCGUUGUUGGGUAGGGGAGCGUUCUGUAAGCCUGUGAAGGUGUGCUGUGAGGCAUGCUGGAGGUAUCAGAAGUGCGAAUGCUGACAUAAGUAACGAUAAAGCGGGUGAAAAGCCCGCUCGCCGGAAGACCAAGGGUUCCUGUCCAACGUUAAUCGGGGCAGGGUGAGUCGACCCCUAAGGCGAGGCCGAAAGGCGUAGUCGAUGGGAAACAGGUUAAUAUUCCUGUACUUGGUGUUACUGCGAAGGGGGGACGGAGAAGGCUAUGUUGGCCGGGCGACGGUUGUCCCGGUUUAAGCGUGUAGGCUGGUUUUCCAGGCAAAUCCGGAAAAUCAAGGCUGAGGCGUGAUGACGAGGCACUACGGUGCUGAAGUAACAAAUGCCCUGCUUCCAGGAAAAGCCUCUAAGCAUCAGGUAACAUCAAAUCGUACCCCAAACCGACACAGGUGGUCAGGUAGAGAAUACCAAGGCGCUUGAGAGAACUCGGGUGAAGGAACUAGGCAAAAUGGUGCCGUAACUUCGGGAGAAGGCACGCUGAUAUGUAGGUGAAGCGACUUGCUCGUGGAGCUGAAAUCAGUCGAAGAUACCAGCUGGCUGCAACUGUUUAUUAAAAACACAGCACUGUGCAAACACGAAAGUGGACGUAUACGGUGUGACGCCUGCCCGGUGCCGGAAGGUUAAUUGAUGGGGUCAGCGCAAGCGAAGCUCUUGAUCGAAGCCCCGGUAAACGGCGGCCGUAACUAUAACGGUCCUAAGGUAGCGAAAUUCCUUGUCGGGUAAGUUCCGACCUGCACGAAUGGCGUAAUGAUGGCCAGGCUGUCUCCACCCGAGACUCAGUGAAAUUGAACUCGCUGUGAAGAUGCAGUGUACCCGCGGCAAGACGGAAAGACCCCGUGAACCUUUACUAUAGCUUGACACUGAACAUUGAGCCUUGAUGUGUAGGAUAGGUGGGAGGCUUGGAAGUGUGGACGCCAGUCUGCAUGGAGCCGACCUUGAAAUACCACCCUUUAAUGUUUGAUGUUCUAACGUUGACCCGUAAUCCGGGUUGCGGACAGUGUCUGGUGGGUAGUUUGACUGGGGCGGUCUCCUCCUAAAGAGUAACGGAGGAGCACGAAGGUUGGCUAAUCCUGGUCGGACAUCAGGAGGUUAGUGCAAUGGCAUAAGCCAGCUUGACUGCGAGCGUGACGGCGCGAGCAGGUGCGAAAGCAGGUCAUAGUGAUCCGGUGGUUCUGAAUGGAAGGGCCAUCGCUCAACGGAUAAAAGGUACUCCGGGGAUAACAGGCUGAUACCGCCCAAGAGUUCAUAUCGACGGCGGUGUUUGGCACCUCGAUGUCGGCUCAUCACAUCCUGGGGCUGAAGUAGGUCCCAAGGGUAUGGCUGUUCGCCAUUUAAAGUGGUACGCGAGCUGGGUUUAGAACGUCGUGAGACAGUUCGGUCCCUAUCUGCCGUGGGCGCUGGAGAACUGAGGGGGGCUGCUCCUAGUACGAGAGGACCGGAGUGGACGCAUCACUGGUGUUCGGGUUGUCAUGCCAAUGGCACUGCCCGGUAGCUAAAUGCGGAAGAGAUAAGUGCUGAAAGCAUCUAAGCACGAAACUUGCCCCGAGAUGAGUUCUCCCUGACUCCUUGAGAGUCCUGAAGGAACGUUGAAGACGACGACGUUGAUAGGCCGGGUGUGUAAGCGCAGCGAUGCGUUGAGCUAACCGGUACUAAUGAACCGUGAGGCUUAACCUU
rnacentral:rRNA from 1 species